UACGGAGGGGGGCUAGCGUUGUUCGGAAUUACUGGGCGUAAAGCGCGCGUAGGCGGACCUGCAAGUCGGGGGUGAAAGCCCGAGGCUCAACCCUCGGAACUGCCUUCGAUACUGCGGGUCUCGAGUCCGGGAGAGGUGAGUGGAAUUCCUAGUGUAGAGGUGAAAAUUCGUAGAUAUUAGGAAAGAACACCAGUGGCGAAGGCGGCUCACUGGCCCGGUACUGACGCUGAGGCGCGAAAAGCGUGGG
rnacentral:rRNA from 1 species